GCCCUACGGGAGGCAGCAGUGAGGAAUAUUGGUCAAUGGGCGCAAGCCUGAACCAGCCAAGUCGCGUGAGGGAUGACGGUCCUAUGGAUUGUAAACCUCUUUUGUCGGGGAGCAAGGCCCGCCACGUGUGGCGGGAAGGAGAGUACCCGAAGAAAAAGCAUCGGCUAACUCCGUGCCAGCAGCCGCGGUAAUACGGAGGGUGCGAGCGUUAUCCGGAUUUAUUGGGUUUAAAGGGUGCGUAGGGGGAAGGUUAAGUCAGCGGUCCAAUGUCGGUGCUCAACACCCGCCUGCCGUUUGA
rnacentral:rRNA from 1 species